rnacentral:rRNA from 1 species
CCUACGGGAGGCAGCAGUGGGGAAUCUUGGUCAAUGGACGAGAGCCUGAACCAGCAACGUCGCGUGAAGGUUGACGGCCCUACGGGUUGAAAACUUCUUUUAUAAAGGAAUAAAGUGAGGCUAGUGUGCCUUUUUGUCUGUACUUUAUGUAAAAAGAACGGCUAACUCCGCGCCAGCAGACGCGGUAAUACGGUGGGUCCGAGCGUUAUCCGGAUUUAUUGGGUUUAACGGGAGCGUAGGUGGGUUGUUAAGUCAGUUGUGAAAGCUUGCGGCUCAACCGGACAGGUGCAAUUGAUACUGGCAGUCGUGAGUACAGAUGAGGAGAGCGGAAUUCGAGGUGUAGCGGUGAAAUGCGUAGAUAUCAGGAAGAACUCCGAUUGCGAAGGCAGCUUACUAGUCUGCCACUGACAUUGAGGCUCGAAAGUGUGGGUAUCAAACAGGAUUAGAUACCCCUGUAGUC